CCUACGGGAGGCAGCAGUAGGGAAUCUUCCGCAAUGGACGAAAGUCUGACGGAGCAACGCCGCGUGAGUGAAGAAGGUUUUCGGAUCGUAAAACUCCGUUGUCAGGGAAGAACAAGUACGGGAGUAACUGCCCGUACCUUGACGGUACCUGGCCAGAAAGCCACGGCUAACUACGUGCCAGCAGCCGCGGUAAUACGUAGGUGGCAAGCGUUGUCCGGAAUUAUUGGGCGUAAAGCGCGCGCAGGCGGCCUUUUAAGUCUGAUGUGAAAGCCCCCGGCUCAACCGGGGAGGUCAUUGGAAACUGGAAGGCUUGAGUGCAGAAGAGAAGAGCGGAAUUCCACGUGUAGCGGUGAAAUGCGUAGAGAUGUGGAGGAACACCAGUGGCGAAGGCGGCUCUUUGGUCUGUAACUGACGCUGAGGCGCGAAAGCGUGGGGAGCAAACAGGAUUAGAUACCCUGGUAGUCCACGCCGUAAACGAUGAGUGCUAAGUGUUGGGGGUUUCCGCCCUCAGUGCUGCAGCUAACGCAUUAAGCACUCCGCCUGGGGAGUACGGCCGCAAGGCUGAACUUAAGGAAUUGACGG
rnacentral:rRNA from 1 species